CGAGAAAUAUACCUCUGCUUUUCUUCCCAACUGUCACUCUUUGAGCUGAGCAGUUCAUAGUUGAUAUUGAGUGAGUUGUCAGCUCUCUACCUAGCGUCUUUGACAAUGGACAACCUCAAUUGUUGCUGCUGCGAUGAUGUUGCCAAGGCUGUGGUGCCAGAUUUUGUCCACCGAAACUCAAGCAACGGUGAAAUCCAGUAUCGGUGCCAGUUUAGACUUGGUGAGAGAAGCAGAGACUGUACCCAGGCUCCUUAUAUCAGUCAUGGACGUCUAAUGAAGUCCAUGGGCAUCCUCUGUCCCAAAUGA
rnacentral:lncRNA from 1 species